GCGUUAUCCGGAUUUACUGGGUGUAAAGGGAGCGUAGGUGGUUCGGCAAGUCAGAUGUGAAAGCCCGGGGCUCAACCCCGGGACUGCAUUUGAAACUGUCGGACUAGAGUGCAGGAGAGGUAAGUGGAAUUCCUAGUGUAGCGGUGAAAUGCGUAGAUAUUAGGAGGAACACCAGUGGCGAAGGCGGCUUACUGGACUGUAACUGACACUGAGGCUCGAAAGCGUG
rnacentral:rRNA from 1 species